GAUGAACGCUGGCGGCGUGCCUAAUACAUGCAAGUCGAGCGAAUGGAUUAAGAGCUUGCUCUUAUGAAGUUAGCGGCGGACGGGUGAGUAACACGUGGGUAACCUGCCCAUAAGACUGGGAUAACUCCGGGAAACCGGGGCUAAUACCGGAUAACAUUUUGAACCGCAUGGUUCGAAAUUGAAAGGCGGCUUCGGCUGUCACCUAUGGAUGGACCCGCGUCGCAUUAGCUAGUUGGUGAGGUAACGGCUCACCAAUGCAACGGUGCGUAGCCGACCUGAGAGGGUGAUCGGCCACACUGGGACUGAGACACGGCCCAGACUCCUACGGGAGGCAGCAGUAGGGAAUCCUCCGCAAUGGACGAAAGUCUGACGGAGCAACGCCGCGUGAGUGAUGAAGGCUUUCGGGUCGUAAAACUCUGUUGUUAGGGAAGAACAAGUGCUAGUUGAAUAAGCUGGCACCUUGACGGUACCUAACCAGAAAGCCACGGCUAACUACGUGCCAGCCGCCGCAGUAA
rnacentral:rRNA from 1 species